rnacentral:rRNA from 1 species
UGUAGCUUGGGUGUUUUUCAUCUGGGUGGAUGAGUGGCGAACGGGUGAGUAAUACGUGAGUAACCUGCCCUUGACUCUGGGAUAAGCCUGGGAAACUGGGUCUAAUACUGGAUACUACGUGCCCUCGCAUGGGGGUGUGUGGAAAGGGUUUUACUGGUUUUGGAUGGGCUCACGGCCUAUCAGCUUGUUGGUGGGGUAAUGGCCUACCAAGGCGACGACGGGUAGCCGGCCUGAGAGGGUGACCGGCCACACUGGGACUGAGACACGGCCCAGACUCCUACGGGAGGCAGCAGUGGGGAAUAUUGCACAAUGGGCGAAAGCCUGAUGCAGCGACGCCGCGUGAGGGAUGACGGCCUUCGGGUUGUAAACCUCUUUCAGCACGGAAGAAGCGAAAGUGACGGUACGUGCAGAAGAAGCGCCGGCUAACUACGUGCCAGCAGCCGCGGUAAUACGUAGGGCGCAAGCGUUGUCCGGAAUUAUUGGGCGUAAAGAGCUCGUAGGCGGUUUGUCGCGUCUGCUGUGAAAGCCCGGGGCUUAACCCCGUGGUGUGCAGUGGGUACGGGCAGACUAGAGUGCAGUAGGGGAGACUGGAAUUCCUGGUGUAGCGGUGAAAUGCGCAGAUAUCAGGAGGAACACCGAUGGCGAAGGCAGGUCUCUGGGCUGUUACUGACGCUGAGGAGCGAAAGCAUGGGGAGCGAACAGGAUUAGAUACCCUGGUAGUCCAUGCCGUAAACGUUGGGCACUAGGUGUGGGGGACAUUCCACGUUUUCCGCGCCGUAGCUAACGCAUUAAGUGCCCCGCCUGGGGAGUACGGCCGCAAGGCUAAAACUCAAAGGAAUUGACGGGGGCCCGCACAAGCGGCGGAGCAUGCGGAUUAAUUCGAUGCAACGCGAAGAACUUACCAGGCUUGACUACACCAGACCGGCCAGAGAUGGGUUUCUCUGUGAGGUGGUGUACAGGUGGUGCAUGGUUGUCGUCAGCUCGUGUCGUGAGA